rnacentral:rRNA from 1 species
AGGACGAACGCUGGCGGCGUGCUUAACACAUGCAAGUCGAACGCUCUUGGUUUCGGCCAAGGGAGUGGCGCACGGGUGAGUAACGCGUGGGAACCUGCCCUGGAGUGGGGGAUAACCGAGGGAAACCUCGGGGGGCUAAUACCGCAUACGACCUGAGGGUGAAAGAUUUAUCGCUCUAGGAGGGGCCCGCGUCGGAUUAGCUAGUUGGUGAGGUAACGGCCCACCAAGGCUAUGAUCCGUAGCUGGUCUGAGAGGAUGAUCAGCCACACUGGGACUGAGACACGGCCCAGACUCCUACGGGAGGCAGCAGUGGGGAAUAUUGGACAAUGGGCGCAAGCCUGAUCCAGCAAUGCCGCGUGAGUGAUGAAGGCCUUAGGGUUGUAAAGCUCUUUCACACGCGACGAUGAUGACGGUAGCGUGAGAAGAAGCCCCGGCUAACUUCGUGCCAGCAGCCGC